AGAGUUUCAUCCUGGCUCAGGAUGAACGCUAGCGGCAGGCCUAACACAUGCAAGUCGAACGGUAACAGCAGAGCUUGCUCUGGCUGACGAGUGGCGCACGGGUGCGUAACGCGUAUGCAACUUACCCCAAACUGGAGAAUAGCCUUUCGAAAGGAAGAAUAAUACUCCAUAGUAUUUCAAAGAGGCAUCUCUUUGUUCUUAAAGCUUCGGCGGUUUGGGAUGGGCAUGCGUUCUAUUAGUUAGUUGGUGAGGUAACGGCUCACCAAGACCACGAUAGAUAGGGGGCCUGAGAGGGUUAUCCCCCACACUGGUACUGAGACACGGACCAGACUCCUACGGGAGGCAGCAGUGAGGAAUAUUGCACAAUGGACGAAAGUCUGAUGCAGCCAUGCCGCGUGCAGGAUGAAUGCCCUAUGGGUUGUAAACUGCUUUUAUAUAGGAAGAAACUUUUCUACGUGUAGAGAACUGACGGUACUAUAAGAAUAAGGACCGGCUAACUCCGUGCCAGCAGCCGCGGUAAUACGGAGGGUCCAAGCGUUAUCCGGAUUUAUUGGGUUUAAAGGGUCCGUAGGCGGGAAAUUAAGUCAGUGGUGAAAGCCUACAGCUCAACUGUAGAACUGCCAUUGAAACUGAUUUUCUUGAAUAUAGAUGAAGUAGGCGGAAUAUAUCAUGUAGCGGUGAAAUGCAUAGAUAUGAUAUAGAACACCGAUUGCGAAGGCAGCUUACUAAACUAUUAUUGACGCUGAGGGACGAAAGUGUGGGGAGCGAACAGGAUUAGAUACCCUGGUAGUCCACACCGUAAACGAUGAUUACUAGCUGUUGGCGAUACACAGUCAGCGGCGUAGCGAAAGCGUUAAGUAAUCCACCUGGGGAGUACGGUCGCAAGAUUGAAACUCAAAGGAAUUGACGGGGGCCCGCACAAGCGGUGGAGCAUGUGGUUUAAUUCGAUGAUACGCGAGGAACCUUACCAGGGCUUAAAUGUGGUCUGACAGCUUUAGAGAUAGAGUUUUCUUCGGACAGAUCACAAGGUGCUGCAUGGUUGUCGUCAGCUCGUGCCGUGAGGUGUCAGGUUAAGUCCUAUAACGAGCGCAACCCCUAUCGUUAGUUGCUAACAGGUUAAGCUGAGGACUCUAAUGAGACUGCCUACGCAAGUAGUGAGGAAGGCGGGGACGACGUCAAGUCAUCACGGCCCUUACGUCCUGGGCCACACACGUGCUACAAUGGUAGAUACAGAGGGCAGCUACCCCGCGAGGGGAUGCAAAUCUCGAAAGUCUAUCUCAGUUCGGAUUGGAGUCUGCAACUCGACUCCAUGAAGCUGGAAUCGCUAGUAAUCGCGCAUCAGCCAUGGCGCGGUGAAUACGUUCCCGGGCCUUGUACACACCGCCCGUCAAGCCAUGGAAGCUGGGAGUGCCUGAAGUCGGUAACCGUAAGGAGCUGCCUAGGGUAAAACUAGUAACUGGGGCUAAGUCGGAACAAGGUAGCC
rnacentral:rRNA from 1 species